GGCUCAGGAUGAACGCUAGCGGCAGGCUUAACACAUGCAAGUCGAGGGCAGCAUGACGAAACCUUCGGGUUUGUGAUGGCGACCGGCGCAAGGGUGCGUAACGCGUGAGCAACUUGCCCUUAUCAGGGGGGAUAACCGGUGGAAACGCCGACUAAUACCCCAUGGCAUCACAUCAAGGCAUCUUUUGUGAUUAAGAAAUUCGGAUAAGGAUAGGCUCGCGUGACAUUAGCUAGACGGCGGGGUAACGGCCCACCGUGGCGACGAUGUCUAGGGGUUCUGAGAGGAAGGUCCCCCACACUGGAACUGAGACACGGUCCAGACUCCUACGGGAGGCAGCAGUGAGGAAUAUUGGUCAAUGGUCGGAAGACUGAACCAGCCAAGUAGCGUGAAGGAUGACUGCCCUACGGGUUGUAAACUUCUUUUGUAAGGGAGCAAUAAGGGUCACGUGUGGUCUGAUGAGAGUACCUUACGAAUAAGCAUCGGCUAACUCCGUG
rnacentral:rRNA from 1 species